UACGGGGUGGGCAAGCGUUGUUCGGAAUUACUGGGCGUAAAGGGCUCGUAGGCGGCCAACUAAGUCAGACGUGAAAUCCCUCGGCUUAACCGGGGAACUGCGUCUGAUACUGGAUGGCUUGAGUUUGGGAGAGGGAUGCGGAAUUCCAGGUGUAGCGGUGAAAUGCGUAGAUAUCUGGAGGAACACCGGUGGCGAAGGCGGCAUCCUGGACCAACACUGACGCUGAGGAGCGAAAGCCAGGGGAGCAAACGGGAUGAGAUAACCCCGUAGUCC
rnacentral:rRNA from 1 species